rnacentral:lncRNA from 1 species
UCUGCCUCCUGCUCAGUAAUUGCCACCAGAUGACCAGCUGUGGCUCAGACACUCUCAGUGUUCAGGUGUUGCCAUCUUGUCAGCACCCUCAAGAGGCACAAGCUCCUUCCCUCAACAAUGCUCACUAGAUACUUCCUACCUAUCAGGCACGGCAAGGAACCAGGCAGCAGCAGCGCUCUGGCCCUAAUCACCACCUGCAGGGACCACCCACAGAGCAGCUCAGCUUGGGAAGUCAGCCUGCAAGAAUGGCAGCCACUCAGACUUCACAAGGUCUUUCUCUCUCCAGAGGCAGCUGCCAUGUCAAGCAGGAGAGCUCACCACUACCCAAUCCUUUCCCCAGGAACAGGCUUCCCUGGGUGGACAGUUUCCAACUGCACAACGAUCCUCUCCUUUCAGGGGCUCAGGCUGAGGUCACACAGGAGGGCAGGCUCCAGGCGGCCAGAGCAUGAGACUACCACUGGGUCCUGGAUGAUGCCUCCCUGCAGCGCCGUCUGUAAACCCCACAGCUGUGUUUUCACUUAAAGCCACUUCUCCUGACUGCGCUGCACCUUGUUCCAGAGGCUUGCUCUGUUCUCAUUAAGGUUAAAAAUGACAGGACAAGGAUUCUUCAAUGCUGAGGUUUUACUUUCUGAGAAGAAAAAACGUCUGUCUCUGGAGCUAUGGUCAACCCACAGGGAGGGUUGCUCUGUAGCAUGAUGAGCAAGUCUGCGUGUGUCACAUGCAGCCAGCUGGAGAGAGAGUGCAGCCAAUCUGCUCAUCCUAAUCAAAGCUGGAGAAUUUUUGAGGAUUUUCAUG